GACGAACGCUGGCGGCGUGCCUAAUACAUGCAAGUCGAGCGGACAGAAGGGAGCUUGCUCCCGGAAGUUAGCGGCGGACGGGUGAGUAACACGUGGGCAACCUACCCUGUAGAUCGGGAUAACAUCGAGAAAUCGGUGCUAAUACCGGAUAAUCAUUUGAAGUGCAUGCUUCGAAUGUAAAAGAUGGCUCCGGCUAUCACUACGGGAUGGGCCCGCGGCGCACUAGCUAGUUGGUAAGGUAAUGGCUUACCAAGGCAACGAUGCGUAGCCGACCUGAGAGGGUGAUCGGCCACACUGGGACUGAGACACGGCCCAGACUCCUACGGGAGGCAGCGGUAGGGAAUCUUCCGCAAUGGACGAAAGUCUGACGGAGCAACGCCGCGUGAGUGAUGAAGGUUUUCGGAUCGUAAAGCUCUGUUGUUAGGGAAGAACAAGUGCCGUUUGAAUAAGGCGGCACCUUGACGGUACCUAACCAGAAAGCCACGGCUAACUACGUGCCAGCAGCCGCGGUAAAAC
rnacentral:rRNA from 1 species